rnacentral:lncRNA from 1 species
GGGGGAUCUCUGCAAAUGGACCCUUGUGAGCGUUCUCUCAAGUUAAAUUGGAACUAUGAUGUCAUCUCAAGGUGAAAGAAGCUGUAACGAAGAAGACAAGCGGUUUGAGUUACUGAGGGAGAAGAAGAGCAUGGGAAAAUCUAGGCAACACGAAACGGCGGCGGGGGGCAGGCGGGAAAACGCCAGGCAAAUUGUGUUUACUUUUGAAUGCAUGGACCAGUGCCAGGAGACCUGCGGAUGAUGAUCUUUUUGACACAGUGAUUGGCUGUUCGGGUUUGUUAUGCUUUCAGUAUUUUGAUACAAAUGCAGCUUCUAUAAAUUUGCAUUCCACGCAGAAAUGCAGUCUGGAUGGUUGUUUGCAGAAGGAAGCUAUAUCUUUCUGUCUCAAGCAUUACACCAAUUUGUUGGCAGCAUCAUGUGGCAGUCCCAACACAGCAAGGUUAUAAAGAAGCAGAAGUCCCUAAGUCCUUCACCGCCUCAUGAACCCAGACUGUUGUUAGCAAUGGACACAAGCAUCAAGUUAAGGGCUGGAGGGCUGUUUCCUGUGGUUCCAGUGUUAGGCUUUGACACCAACACACCCACUACAGAGAGCAACAGCACACACAGCCAAGGAAUCACCACCUAAUCAAGCUCAGUAAGACCUUCCUAGUUCAUUUCCUAUUUACAUGGUGACAAGUAGUAUGCAGCACAAACAGAGGACAGAAUGCUAUUUUAUAUAGUGUUGCUUUGUUACCCCUGUUAAACAAUGCAGUAUGAAGGCAAGUUUUCUUUCUUAAAC